UCCAAGUUUUGGCUAGAUUCAUCCUUUGAGGUAUUGUGAGGAAUGGGAAUCAGCUGCAAACCAUUCUUUCUUCCAACUGUGGCUCCAAAGGCUUCUGUCAUGUCUAAAUUUUCUGGUGUGAUUCCAUUUGGCAAUUUCCAAUCAAAAUGGUAAAGUAGCCUUGCCAGAGGAAGCUCCAUAUUUGCCAGACCAAAUGCUAUGCCUGGACAAAUUCUUCUUCCUGCUCCAAAUGGGAUAAACUCAAAAUCCAUCCCUUUAAAAUCCACUGAACUGUUGAUGAAUCUUUCUGGUUUAAAAGUGUCAGCUUCAGGCCACGUCUCUGGAUCUCUCCCUAUUGCCCAGGCAUUGACAAUGAUCUUGGUUUUCACAGGCAAUUCAUACCCAUCAAUAAUACAUCUUUCUGUGCUUUCUCUUGGAAGUAACAAGGGUGCUGGAGGAUGAAGCCUUAGAGUUUCUUUUAGUACUAAUGGUAAGUACUUCAAUUGCUGAACGUCAGCUUCACGGAUUGUUUUCUUCCCCUUAAAAGCUUGCCUAACUUCAUCCUGUGCUUUCUUCAGAAUUCUUGGAUUUUUCAUCAUUUCUGACAUAGCCCAUUCUACAGUUGUUGAAGAAGUGUCUGUUCCAGCAAUGAACAAAUCCAAAAUGACAGCUUUGAGGCUGUUGGAUGUGACAGGACACUGAAGUCUGCCACUUCCUUGAAGCUUUAGGAGAACAUCAACAAGGUCUUCUUUCUCUGAUUCAAGUUCACUGCUACUUUUGUUCAUCAAUUUCUUCUUGUGUUCAUCUAUGAUAUUACCGAAGACCCUGCCCAGUUCGUCUCGAAGUUUCUCUAAUUUGCCUUUGACCCCACUGAUUACGUGAAGGAACUCUAUAGAAGGGUAUACAUCAGCUAUACCAAAACCUCCUGCCAAUGUUGUUGCUUCCUUGGUCAGUGCUAUGACUGCUUCCUGAUCUUUGCAUUCGUCUCCAAAUGCUGCUUUGCAGGUUAUGUCAUUAGUCAGCUGGAAAAUUUUUUCGCUGAAAUUGAUUACUUUCCCUGCAGAUAUCUGAACGUAGUCAAUGAGUUUUGAGACCUCAACUUCGCGAAUAGAAGAGAAUGAUGCAACCCUCUUAGGCCCUAAGAGUU
rnacentral:misc_RNA from 1 species